rnacentral:rRNA from 1 species
UACGUAGGGUGCAAGCGUUGUCCGGAAUUACUGGGCGUAAAGGGCUCGUAGGCGGCCAACUAAGUCGGACGUGAAAUCCCCAGGCUCAACCUGGGAACUGCGUCCGAUACUGGAUGGCUUGAAUUCGGGAGAGGGAUGCAGAAUUCCAGGUGUAGCGGUGAAAUGCGUAGAUAUCUGGAGGAACACCGGUGGCGAAGGCGGCAUCCUGGACCGGUAUUGACGCUGAGGCGCGAAAGCUAGGGGAGCAAACGGG